rnacentral:rRNA from 1 species
ACUUAACGGCAUCUCUGCGCGUGAAAUGCAUCUGGCACCCCAACUUGGUCCACCUAGUUAUGAGGAGGUGCACGACGGAAAUUAUUGAUAGGGGAAGCGGAUAUCUCUGCACUGCAUGGGGCUACCACCGUGACUGGAGUCAUUGCUAGGCACCGAACGGCAUCUGUAUGCGCGCACUUGAACAACAUCUUUAUUGUUGAUUUGGGAUAUGAGUGAUCGCGCAACUGCCUUCAGGCCGCAGAAUGCCCAUUCGAUUUAGAGGUCUACUCUACCGACUGGUUGAUCCUACCAGUGACACCUAUCGCCAACCAGUCGAAACACAUCCAAGGAUGGCAGCAGGCGCGUAAAUUACCCAAUCCCUGCACGGGGAGAUAGUGACGAGAAAUAAUAAUAUGGACCUUAUGCACGAUGGUUCAUAAUUGGAAUGAGUUGAGCGUAAAUCUUUUUGCAAGGAUCAAGUGGAGGGCAAGUCUGAUGCCAGCAGCUGCGGUAACAGNNNNNNNNNNNNNNNNNN